rnacentral:rRNA from 1 species
GAUGAACGCUGGCGGCGUGCCUAAUACAUGCAAGUCGAACGGAGAACUUUUGUAGCAAUACGAAGGUUUCUUAGUGGCGAACGGGUGAGUAACGCGUUGGUGACCUGCCCCAAAGUGUGGGAUAACAGUCCGAAAGGAUUGCUAAUACCGCAUGUGGCCAUCGGGUUUAGAAACCGAUGUCUAAAGCCGCAAGGCGCUUUGGGAGGGACCUGCGUCCCAUCAGCUAGUUGGCGAGGUAACGGCUCACCAAGGCUACGACGGGUAGGGGGCCUGAGAGGGUGGCCCCCCACAAUGGAACUGAAACACGGUCCAUACACCUACGGGUGGCAGCAGUAGGGAAUAUUGCACAAUGGGCGAAAGCCUGAUGCAGCAACGCCGCGUGAGCGAUGAAGGCCUUCGGGUCGUAAAGCUCUUUUCUGGGAGAUGAGAGAGGACAGUACCCCAGGAAUAAGUCUCGGCUAACUACGUGCCAGCAGCCGCGGUAAUAC